rnacentral:lncRNA from 1 species
GUUGCAAUGUGAUCCCUGCAAGAGAAGAUGUCUGCUGCUGGCGUCUCUGUACUGUUCUUCUACCAGCUGCAGUGGGGAAGAUCUGAGCUGGUAUGCCUUGCACUUGUAUGCAACAAGGAAAAUUCCAGGCACGUGAUACUGCCUAAGUGCCAAGCUGGAGAUCUAUGGAAAGCCUUACUCUUCCAUCAUGAAACCUUAAGAAUGGAACAACUUGACACAAUGAAGAACAUUUCAGUGAAGAUAUUAAAGCAGGCUAGAAUUAGUUUGAAACAAUGUUCUCCUAGCAACAACCUAAAUAACUUCUAAUAGUGAAUCUACCCUUCUACAAGCUACAAUAUUAUAGCAAUAGUAAAAGUAUAAGAAUGGGAAUAAAGCAAAAUAAAAGGAAAUCUAACUAUGAAUUAAUUCUAUGAACAUGGAACUUGUAAUAUUUUCUCAUCCCUGCCCAUCUCAGAGUCUCCCUUAACUGUUCAUUAGCUAGUGAACACCAAGAGGUGCCUGAACACUGGAUAACUGGU